GGGUGAGUAGCUUAACUGGUAAAGCACAUCGUUCGCAUCGAUGAGACCACGAGUUCGACUCUCGCCUCAUCCACCA
rnacentral:tRNA from 1 species